CCUACGGGAGGCAGCAGUGAGGAAUAUUGGUCAAUGGGCGCGAGCCUGAACCAGCCAAGUCGCGUGAGGGAAGACGGUCCUAUGGAUUGUAAACCUCUUUUGUCGGGGAGCAAAAGACGCCACGCGUGGCGUUCCGAGAGUACCCGAAGAAAAAGCAUCGGCUAACUCCGUGCCAGCAGCCGCGGUAAUACGGAGGAUGCGAGCGUUAUCCGGAUUUAUUGGGUUUAAAGGGUGCGCAGGCGGAAGAUCAAGUCAGCGGGAAAAUUGAGAGGCUCAACCUCUUCGAGCCGUUGAAACUGGUUUGCUUGAGUGAGUGAGAAGUAUGCGGAAUGCGUGGUGUAGCGGUGAAAUGCAUAGAUAUCACGCAGAACUCCGAUUGCGAAGGCAGCUCACUGGACUGCAACUGACACUGAGGCUCGAAAGUGUGGGUAUCAAACAGGAUUAGAUACCCCAGUAGUC
rnacentral:rRNA from 1 species